rnacentral:lncRNA from 1 species
UCCCCCCAAAUCCCCCAAAUUUUCCCAUUUUCUCCUUUUUUUUCCCCAGGAUUACGCCCAGAGCCGUUUCCAGGCCUAUUUCCAGCACAAAUCCCGCUGCUCCUGAGGCACCCCCAAAUUUGGGGGGUCCCAGAUGAUUUUUGGGGUCCCCAAAUGAUUUUUGGGGGGUUCCAAAUGAUUUUUGGGGACCCCAAACAAUUUUUGGGGGGUCCUCAAAUGGUUUUUGGGGUGGCCCCAAACAAUUUUGGGGGUCCCAGAUGAUUUUUGGGGGUCCCAAACGAUUUUUGGGGGAUCCUCAAAUGGUUUUUGGGGUAGCCCCAAACGAUUUUGGGGGUCCCAGAUGAUUUUUGGGGUCCCAAAUGAUUUUUGGGGGGUCCCCCAACGGUUUUGGGGGGGUCCCAAACGAUUUUUUGGGGUCCCAAAUGAUUUUUGGGGGGUUCCAAAUGGUUUUUGGGGGGUCCCAAACGAUUUUUGGGGGUCCUCAAAUGCUUUUGGGGGGUCCCAAACGGUUUUUUUGGGGUCCCAAAUGAUUUUUGGGGGGUCCCAAAUGUUUUUUGGGGUCCCCAAACGGGUUUUUUUGGGUCCCAAAUGAUUUUUGGGGUCCCCAAACGGUUUUUUUGGGGUCCCAAACGGUUUUUUUGGGGUCCCCAAACGGUUUUUUUGGGGUCCCAAACGGUUUUUUUGGGUCCCAAAUGAUUUUUGGGGUCCCCAAACGGUUUUUUGGGGGUCCUAAACGGUUUUUGGGGGGUCCCAAACGGUUUUUUUGGGGUCCUAAACCUUUUUUGGGGUCCCCAAACGGUUUUUGGGGUCCCCAAACGGUUUUUGGGGGGGUGGGCGCCCCCCGCGCCCCCCCGGAUCGGCAGCAGAGGUGGGUGGGGACCCCAAGGUUGGGAUUUGGGGAGGGGGCGGCUCUGGGGACCCCCCAAAUCCGCACCCCCGGCCAGUAUUGGGGUUUUUGGGGUGGUUUUUGGGGUUUUUUGGGGGGGAUUUUGGGGUUUU